rnacentral:rRNA from 1 species
AUUGAACGCUGGCGGCAGGCUUAACACGUGCAAGUCGGACGGUAACAGGGGAGCUUGCUCCUGCUGACGAGUGGCGGACGGGUGAGUAAUAUAUGGGGAUCUGCCGAAUGGAGGGGGACAACAGUUGGAAACGGCUGCUAAUACCGCAUAAUGUCGCGAGACCAAAGCGUGGGACCUUCGGGCCAUGCACCAUUUGAUGAACCCAUAUGGGAUUAGCUAGUAGGUGGGGG